rnacentral:lncRNA from 1 species
GUGGAAUUCCAGAAUGAUAAUGAUUCUGGUAUGAUUAUUAUUGCUGAAAUGUUGUUUACAUAUAUAUACAGGUUCUGCACCAUUAGGGUGCAGAAUCACUCAUUUGUAAUCCCUAUAAAUCAGGGAUUACUCUACCUACUACUUUCUAUUAUUGUUCUGCAUAGAUUUAGGCUAGAAGAAUCGAAUAAUCCAGCUAACCUACUACUGAUUUCUAUGCCUACUCAUACUCUACUAAUUACUGUAAUUCAACACUCCCCCUCAAGGUUGGCUGUAGAUGUUGUGAAGGCCAAGCUUGCCUUGUAAUUCAUCAAACAUAUCCCUAGGCAGUGCCUUAGUAAGAAUGUCUGCGAUCUGCUGCUUCGAUGGAACGUACUCCAUCUCGAACUCCUUGUUGUUUACCUUCUCAGAAAUGAAAUGACGAUCCAGUUCAACAUGUUUAGUGCGAUCAUGAUGAACUGGAUUCUUCACAAUACUGAGUGCUGCCUGACUAUCACACAGCACUCUAAUAGGUCCCUUAUCUUCCAUCUUGAGUUCCUUCAAGAUACGCCUUAACCAAACUCCCUCGCAAAUACCGUCUGCCAGUGCCCUAUACUCUGCUUCAGCACUGCUUCUUGAGACAACAGACUGUUUCUUACUCCGCCAAGUCACUAAGUUCCCCCACACAUAGGUGCAAUACGCUGAGGUUGACCUUCGAUCUGUAAGGUCUCCAGCCAAACUUGCAUCCGUGUAUAUCGAAAUUCUGCGACUAGGAUGUUUUUGAAUUAGUAGCCCAACACCUGGAGUACCUUUUAGAUAUCUCAAUAUCCUCAUCACUGCCUCCAUAUGAUCUUCAUUUGGUGUGCAUAUAUGUUGGCUCACAAUGCUCACUGGAAAUGAGAUGUCUGGACGUGUGUGUGCUAAAUAUAUUAGCUUGCCUACCAAUUUUUGGUAACUCCCCCUUUCUACUGGCGCUGCUUCUUGGCCAAGACCAAACUUCAGAUUGUGUUCCAUUGGUGUGCUGGCAGGUUUGCACCCAAUCAUCCCAGUCUCCUUUAACAAGUCUAGGACGUAUUUCCGUUGGGACAAACUCAGUCCCUUACUAGAUCGUGCUACUUCAAUUCCUAGGAAAUACCUCAGAUUUCCUAGGUCUUUUAUCUCAAAUUCCAGUGCCAGCUUCUCCUUGAGCUUUCUGAUUUCUGUUUCAUCAUCCCCUGUGAUGAUAAUGUCAUCAACGUAUACAAUAAGGAUGGCCUUCCUCCCUUCCUGAUUCUGUUUUAUGAACAUCGUGUGAUCUGUUUGGCACUGAUAGUAUCCGUACCCUUUCACUGAUUGUGAGAACCUCUCGAACCAUGCUCGUGGUGACUGCUUGAGGCCAUACAGUGCCUUUCUCAGUCUACACACCAUUCCUGGUUCAGUGGUAACACCUGCUGGAACCUUCAUGUACACCUCCUCACUUAAAUCUCCGUUGAGGAAAGCAUUCUUCACAUCUAGUUGGUAUAGGGGCCAGUCUAGAUUUACUGCAAUGCUUAGGAGAACUCUCACAGUUUUCAACUUGGCUACUGGAGCAAAUGUCUCCUCGUAGUCCACUCCAUAGCACUGUGUAAAUCCUCUGGCUACAAGACGAGCCUUAUACCUCUCAAUCUUCCCUUCUGAGGUAUACUUCACUGUGAAUAUCCACUUGCAGUCGACUGUGGAUUUCCCUGUGGGCAGUCUUACUAUGUCCCAUGUCCUAUUCUUUAGGAGUGCAUUUAUCUCUUCCAGUACUGCUGCCUUCCAGUGGGGUAUACCCAUAGCCUCCUCAAUAGAGUGAGGAAUCUGUGUAUCAUCGAGAGUCCCUACAAACGCCUUGUAUUUCUGGCUUAGGUUUCCAUAUGAAACCCAUCUCUCAAUGGGGUGAGUUGUACACGAUCUAGUCCCUUUCCUGUGUGCAAUUGGAAGGUAGACUGUAUCAUCCACCCCAAUCUCUUCUACACCAGCGUCCUGGAUUUCCUCUUCUGUCUGGUCAUGAUUCCUGACUUCAUCACCAUGUUCAACUCCUUGAUCCAUUUGAUUUGACUCAUCUUCUUGGGAGGUCAGGUUCUCAUCAAAUUCCUGGACAGGUUGAGCAUGUGAGUUGACUGUCGCCUUCUUCCUACGCUGAUAAACCAGGAGAGGAGGGGUUUGGCUGGGUUUUUCUGUGGGAGUGGAUUGGACUACCUCAGGAGAAUCUAGAACAAUUUGAGAGUCGAGAGUAGUAAUACUCCCAAUGGAGGACUCAACCAUAGGAUUCUCCCCCUGAGGCGGACAGUGGGAGUAAUAAGGGAGAUUUUCAAAAAACGUGACAUUUUUUGAGUGAUAGACUUUGUGGUUAUGUGGAGAGUAACACUUGUAACCACUGUGAUGGGACGAAUAUCCAAGAAAGACACAUUUGACUGCUCUAGGAUCAAGUUUAGUACGAAGUGAUGGAUCUAGGUGAACAAACACUGUACAGCCAAAUAUUCUAAGAGGGAGGUCAGACGAUAGAGCAUGACUAUGAGGAAAGGUUUUUAAGAGAACACUACGAGGAGUUUUAAAACGUAGGGUUCGAUUUGGGAGACGAUUGAUAAGAUAAGUGGCAGUGAGGACAGCAUCACCCCAUAAGUUCUUUGGAGCCUUGGCAGCAAACAGUGAUGCCCUCGCAACCUCUAGCAAGUGACGGUUUUUGCGUUCAGCAACUCCGUUCUGCUGAGGGGUGUAAGGGCAUGAGCUGCUGUGAGCAAUGCCAUUAGCUGUUAGGAAGGAACUUAAGGAUUGAUUGAAAUAGUCCUUUGCAUUAUCAGUGUGAAGUACUCGAAUAGGAGUUUGAAACUGGGUUUUGACCUGAUUUAGGAAGUUUUGAAAUAUAUCCUUUGUUUCAGUCUUUGAUUUCAUGAGAUAAGUCCAUGUUAAACGGGUGUGGUCAUCAAUAAAGGUGAUGAACCAUUUAGACCCACUAACCGUUUUUACAGAACACGGACCCCAAAUAUCGCUGUGAAUGAUGGAAAAAGGAUGUGUUGGCUUAUAUGGUAGGCUAUGGUAGAUGACUCUUGUCUGUUUUGCAAGUUGACAGACCUCACAAUAAAAAGAAUUCGGAUUUUUAUUGAUAAACAGCUUAGGAAACAGUUUUUUAAGGUAAGAGAAACUAGAGUGGCCUAACCGGUAGUGCCACAUCAUGACAGGGCAAUCUAACUGGCUUGUCCUAGAACUUAGGUGUACUGAUUUGGAACCCUCUCCCCCUGGUCUGGAUCCGCUUGUUGUACUCAGAAGGAACAGUCCGUCACACAGCUCAAACCUGCCAAUCAUCUUCUGAGAUCCCACCUCCUGCAAUAUACAUUGUGAUGGAUCACAUGUUAGACGGCAGUUAAGAUCUUGUGUGAUCUGACUAACAGAGAUUAGGUUACAAUUCAGCUUAGGCACAUAUAGGACAGGGAACACAGCCUGAUUUGGAGUCAGGUAGGCUGUCCCAAUCCCUUCGACUGGAGCAAUUGUUCCAUCAGCGAUACGGACUCCUGCUUUCCCUACGUGAGCCUGGAUAUUGUGGAGCAGCUGUCUAGAACCCGUCAUGUGUUCAGUAGCACCAGUAUCCAAAAUCCAGUGUUGAUUAAAAUGACUUUGAGUAAGGAAAGCAGUGGAUCUAAUACCUUGGCUAGCAAACAGGCUGUGGUGAGUUUCAGAGGGUCCUGCAGAUGCUUUCUUAGCAGUAUACUGUGCCAUCAUCUGCUGGAGAAUCUCCAUCUGUUCUCUAGUGAUUUGACCAAACUGUUGAACUUGGUCAGCUGCAGCAGCCUGUGCAUAAGCCUCUCUUUCUGCCUUAGGUUUCCAGUCCGUAGGCUUCCCAUGUAACUUCCAGCAUGUUUCCUUAGUGUGUCCCAGCUUGUUACAGUGCGUACACUGAGGUCUAAGCUUUCCAGACUUGGUGUACGCACUUCCUUGAUUUCCAGUAUACUGAGUAGCAAGGGCAGAUCCUUCUACUGAGGUGUUUUUUGAGUCGGGAAUCAUGAGCUUUCUCCUGCUCUCUUCCCACUUGAUUUCAGCAAACGCCUCUCUUACUGAAGGAAGGGGAAGACGGCCCAUAAUCCUUCCUUUCGCCUCAUCUAGAGCCUGAUUUAGGCCAAGAAGGAACCUGAUGGUUCGCUUUGUCUGGAGAAUCUGCCUGUAGAGGUCUGCAUCUUCCGUGCACUUCCAUAGAUGGAUGUCGUAUAGGUCCUGCUGUAACCAGCAUUUACUCAGUUCGUCAUAAUACUGAGUGACGGAUUUCUCCCCCUGCUUGAGAUCAUGGAGACGCAUCUCCACCUCGAAGGCCUCUGCUUUGUUGGCCUGAUUGGAGUAGGUGUGUCUCGCUCCUUCCCAGAUCUCAUGAGCAGUUUGGUGGAGAAGGAACUUCUCGCCAAUGGUCGUGGUCAUUGAGUUCAGGAGCCAUGACUGAACCAUGUUAUCCUCAAUGUCCCAGUUGGCGAACUCUGGAUCCUCUUCAGCUGGCUGUUCUGUCUUCCCAGUCAGGUACCCUUUCUUUCCUUUCCCUGAGAUGAAUUUUAGAACGGACGACGACCACUGCAGAUAAUUAUCUCCAUUCAGCCUGUGAUUUGUGAUGCAGCCCAGGACAGUUUCUGAUAGGGCUGCUGGAUUCGUGCGUCUUAAUGACGGAUCCUCUGUAGUCACAGAGGGAGACUGUGGAAUGUUGUCAGCGUUGUUCAUGGCUGGAGGAUGAGAAAAUAGAGAAGAAGAUAGGAGUUUUCAGAAGGAGAACGGGGCUUAGAUCUAAUGAAUAUACCCUCGCUCUGAUACCAUGUGGAAUUCCAGAAUGAUAAUGAUUCUGGUAUGAUUAUUAUUGCUGAAAUGUUGUUUACAUAUAUAUACAGGUUCUGCACCAUUAGGGUGCAGAAUCACUCAUUUGUAAUCCCUAUAAAUCAGGGAUUACUCUACCUACUACUUUCUAUUAUUGUUCUGCAUAGAUUUAGGCUAGAAGAAUCGAAUAAUCCAGCUAACCUACUACUGAUUUCUAUGCCUACUCAUACUCUACUAAUUACUGUAAUUCAACAGUU